rnacentral:rRNA from 1 species
CCUACGGGGGGCAGCAGUAGGGAAUAUUGCUCAAUGGGGGAAACCCUGAAGCAGCAACGCCGCGUGAAGGAUGAAGGUUCUCCGGUUGUUAACCCCUUUUUAUGAGAUGAUAAUGUCAGUAACUAACGCCUAAUCACCUGCAAACUCCGAACCAGCAGCCGCGGGAAUCGGGAGGGCUGAGGCGUUACUCGGGAGUAAUGGGCGUAAAGCGCGCGUAGGUGGGUUAGUAAGUCAGGUGUGAAAUGUUAUGGCUCAACCGUAGAACUGCAAUUGAUACUGGUAGUCUAGAGUAUGGGAGAGGUAGGCGGAAUUCUUGGUGUAGCGGUGAAAUGCGUAGAGAUCAAGAGGAAUACUCAUUGCGAAGGCGACUUGCUAGACCAUAACUGACGCUGAUGCGCGAAAGCGUGGGGAGCAAACAGGAUUAGAUACCCGAGUAGUC